rnacentral:rRNA from 1 species
AGUGAACGCUGGCGGUAGGCCUAACACAUGCAAGUCGAACGGCAGCACAGUAAGAGCUUGCUCUUACGGGUGGCGAGUGGCGGACGGGUGAGGAAUACAUCGGAAUCUACUUUUUCGUGGGGGAUAACGUAGGGAAACUUACGCUAAUACCGCAUACGACCUACGGGUGAAAGCAGGGGAUCUUCGGACCUUGCGCGAUUGAAUGAGCCGAUGUCGGAUUAGCUAGUUGGCGGGGUAAAGGCCCACCAAGGCGACGAUCCGUAGCUGGUCUGAGAGGAUGUUCAGCCACACUGGAACUGAUCCACGUCCCAUACUCCUACGGGAUGCACCAGAAUAUAAUGUUGGACAAUGUGGGCAAGCCUGAUCCAGCGGUACCGCGGAUGAAGAAAAGCCCUUCCGGUUGUGUAGCCGUUUUGUUGUGAAAGAAAAGCUUCCGGUUAAUACCCCUCUUUUCUGGCGGUACCCAAAGAAUAGACACCGGCUAUCUUCGUG